rnacentral:rRNA from 1 species
AUUGAACGCUGGCGGCAUGCCUAACACAUGCAAGUCGAACGGCAGCAUGACCUAGCUUGCUAGGUUGAUGGCGAGUGGCGCACGGGUGAGUAAUGCGUAGGAAUCUGCCCUUCAGCGGGGGACAACACGGGGAAACUCGUGCUAAUACCGCAUACGCUCCACGGAGGAAAGCCGGGGACCGCAAGGCCUGGCACUGAAGGAUGAGCCCAAGUCGGAUUAGCUAGUUGGCGGGGUAACGGCCCACCAAGGCGACGAUCCGUAGCUGGUCUGAGAGGACGAUCAGCCACACUGGGACUGAGACACGGCCCAGACUCCUACGGGAGGCAGCAGUGGGGAAUAUUGGACAAUGGGGGAAACCCUGAUCCAGCGACGCCGCGUGGGUGAAGAAGGCCUGCGGGUUGUAAAGCCCUUUCGGUAGGGACGAAAGCUCUCGACCUAACACGUCGGGAGGUUGACUUAACCUACAAAAGAAGCACCGGCUAACUCUGUGCCAGCCGCCGCGGUAACAC